AUCUGGCUGGCUCAUAGGUAGAGCAUGUGACUCUUGAUCUCAGGUUUGUGAGUUCGAGCCCCAUGUUGGGUA
rnacentral:tRNA from 1 species